UAAAAUUGAGUAGAGGAGACAUAGUGGUCGGACAAACAGAAGUUACCAAGAAGGUGAUGAGAACAGAAGACCAUGCUUACUUUGAUGAGAUAAGGGGCUGGGGCUGAAGUAGAAUGUACAAAAGGUUCAAAAUAGGUCUGAUUAGCAGAGGCAAGUAACACAAAAUGAAAGGGUCUGUCCAUAGUGAAAGAGGGAGGCAGAGAAGAAGGUAAGAGGGAGGGAAGGAUUAGACGAGGAGGAGGUGAAGCAGGGUGCGACAGAGGGCUAGGAGAGUCAAACAAAAGUCCACAAGUUAUCUGUGAAGUUUUAAAAAUGUGCUGGAGCCACUUGGUGAUUCCCUUAAUGUCAUUACGUGGGGGAGAAAGAACAAAUAAAAGAGUUUGUCAUGGAUGAGAGGCAGUCUAUAAUCUCUAAAGUGUUGAAGAGCCCGACAUGAGUAGUAGAGUUUACAAAGGUUACAUGAGUGCUUGGGUUGGUGCUAAGCAGGAGGGCGGAUUGGUUCAGCUGAGGGGGAGGCAGAGUAGAGGUUGGAGGCUGAGCGGAUUAGUUCAACUGAGGGGGAGGUUGUGCAAAGGUUUUCGAAGUAAGGGAGGGUAGAGAGUUAUAUGUGGUCAGAG
rnacentral:lncRNA from 1 species